AUGGACGCGCCACCGCUCCUCCCCCUCAUCCUCCUCCUCGCCAUCGUCGGCGGCGGCGGGGUGGCCACGGCCGCGACGAUCCACCCGGGCGACCUGGCCGUGCUGGAGGACCUGCGCCGCUCCCUCACCAACCCGGAGGUCCUCGGCUGGCCCAAGGGCGCCGACCCCUGCGGCGGCGGGUGGGACCACGUCUCCUGCGACCGCGACGGCCGGGUCAACAACCUGGACCUCAAGAGCAUCGGCCUCGCCGGCGCCCUGCCCGCCUCCUUCUCCUCCCUCGACGCGCUCCAGGACCUCAGCCUCCAGACCAACGCGCUCUCCGGCCCGCUCCCCUCCUUCCGCGGCAUGGCGGCCCUCCGCCACGCCUACCUCAACGACAACGCCUUCUCCUCCCUCCCCAACGACUUCUUCGACGGCCUCGACAGCCUCGAGGAGAUCUGCCUCGACAACAACCCGCUCAACGCGACCGCCGGGGGGUGGGAGAUCCCGCCCGCGCUCGCCGCCUCCUCGCCGCAGCUGCAGAGCCUGCGCCUCACCAACUGCAGCCUCGUCGGCGGGAUCCCGGGGUUCCUCGGGGGCAUGAGCGGGCUGCAGAUGCUCACCCUCUCCUACAACAGGCUCUCCGGCCCGAUCCCGGGCACCUUCGCCGGCUCCGGCGUCCAGAAGCUCUGGCUCAACAACCAGCUGGGCGAGACCAAGCUCUCCGGCACGCUCGACGUGCUCGCCGGGAUGGCCGACCUCCAGCAGGCGUGGCUGCACGGCAACCAGUUCACCGGCCCCAUCCCCGACGCCAUCUCCAACUGCAAGCAGCUCGCCGCCCUCUGGCUCAACAACAACGACCUCGUCGGCCUCGUGCCGCCCGGCCUCACCGCCCUGCCGCUGCUCCGCGACGUCAAGCUCGACAACAACAACCUCGUCGGCCCCGCCCCGGCGCUCAAGGCCGGCAAUCUUAGCUCCUCCCAUAACGGCUUCUGCGCCGUCAAGCCCGAGGACAAGUGCGCGCCGGAGGUCAUGGCAUUGCUCCAGUUCCAAGCCGAGGCUGGUUAUCCCGUCAAGCUGACCAGUUCAUGGUCCGGGAACGACCCCUGCAAGGGCUGGCUGGGCGUCACCUGCUCUCAGGGGAAGGUGUCGGUGCUCAAUCUGCCGUCCUCUGGCCUCAAUGGCACCAUCAGCAAGAGCCUCGGAGACCUCUCUGCCCUCUCGGACAUCAGGCUUGAUAGCAAUAACCUCACCGGGCAUGUGCCGGACAGCCUCACCGGCCUCAAGCUGCUAAAGAAGCUCGAUUUGGGCAUGAACGACCUGAAUGGGCCUCUGCCGGCCUUCAGACCGGACGUCAAUGUCAUUCUCACCAGCAAUCCCAACUUCAACACCAAGACGUCGCCGGGUGGUUCUGCUCCCAAGGACGCCACUCAUUCACCAACAACGCCUGGCGCGCCGGGCUCACAAGGCCAAGGGGCUGCCUCUCCUGGCCAAGGGAACAAGAAGAGCAAAAUUUUGUUGGCUACCACCAUUCCAGUUGCGAUCGGCGUGGUGGCUCUGCUGUCCCUGGGUGCUGUGGUGCUCUUCUGCAAGAAAAAUGGGUCGUCAGUUCAGCCACAGGCGACCUCCUCCGUCGUCGUCCACCCCCGCAACAGUUCUGGCCCAGACAACUUGGUCAAGAUUGUCAUGACAAGCAAUGACAGCUUCGGCGCGACAUCAAGCGGAACCAGCAGCCGGGAUAGUGACAUCCACAUGAUCGAGGCGCGCAAUUUUGUGAUCUCCGUGCAGGUUCUUCGUUGUGCCACCAAAAACUUUGCUCCGGACAAUGUGCUUGGCCGUGGCGGAUUCGGCGUCGUUUACAAAGGGGUGCUGCACGACGGCACCAUGAUUGCUGUGAAGAGGAUGGAGUCCUCGGUGAUCAGCAACAAGGCCCUCGACGAGUUCCAAGCAGAGAUUGCCAUCCUAACCAAGGUCCGGCACCGCAACCUGGUGUCCAUAAUGGGCUACGGCAUCGAAGGGAAUGAAAGGCUGCUGGUCUAUGAGCACAUGUCCAAUGGAGCGCUGAGCAAGCAUCUGUUCCACUGGAAGCAGCAUGAGCUGGAGCCCCUCUCAUGGAAGAAGAGGCUGAACAUUGCAUUGGAUGUUGCUCGUGGAAUGGAGUAUCUUCACACCCUUGCACAGCAGUGCUACAUCCACAGGGAUCUUAAGUCAGCAAACAUUCUACUUGGCGAUGAUUUCCGAGCAAAGGUGUCGGAUUUCGGGCUCCUUAAAUCCGCACCGGACGGGAACUUCUCUGUGGCAACCAGACUCGCUGGAACUUUUGGAUACUUGGCGCCUGAAUAUGCUGUGACCGGAAAAAUCACGACGAAAGCAGAUGUUUUCAGCUUCGGGGUGGUGCUGAUGGAGCUGAUAACCGGAAUGACCGCCAUCGACGAGAGACGCAUCGACGAGGAAACCCGGUAUCUGGCCUCGUGGUUCGGUCAGAUAAGGAAGGACGAAGAGAAGUUCAGGGCAGCCAUCGACCCGACCCUGGAGCUCACCGACGAGAUUUUCGAGAGCAUCUCGGUGCUCGCGGAGCUGGCCGGGCACUGCACCUCCCGGGAGCCCUCCCAGCGGCCGGACAUGGGCCACGCCGUGACGGUGCUCGUGCCCAUGGUGGAGAAAUGGAAGCCGUCGAGCAACGAGGCCGAGGACUACAUGGGCAUCGACCUGCACCUGCCGCUGCUCCAGAUGGUGAAGGGGUGGCAGGAGUCGGAGGCGAGCAUGACCGACGGCAGCAUCAUGAGCCUGAGCCUGGAAGACAGCAAGGGCAGCAUCCCCGCCCGGCCCGCCGGGUUCGCCGAGUCCUUCACCUCCGCCGACGGCCGGUGA
rnacentral:rRNA from 1 species